rnacentral:rRNA from 1 species
CAGUCGCCGCGGUAAUACGAAGGGUGCAAGCGUUAAUCGGAAUUACUGGGCGUAAAGCGUGCGUAGGCGGUGAGUUAAGUCUGCUGUGAAAUCCCCGGGCUCAACCUGGGAAUGGCAGUGGAUACUGGCUCGCUAGAGUGUGUCAGAGGAUGGUGGAAUUCCCGGUGUAGCGGUGAAGUGCGUAGAGAUCGGGAGGAACAUCAGUGGCGAAGGCGGCCAUCUGGGACAACACUGACGCUGAGGCACGAAAGCGUGGGGAGCAAACAGGAUUAGAGACCCCCGUAGUCCCUGUCUCUUAUAC